AAAUAGGCUUUAUUAAAAGCUAUUAAUCUGAUCUAAAAUAUUCUA
rfam:Callithrix jacchus chromosome 3, whole genome shotgun sequence